GAUGAACGCUAGCUACAGGCUUAACACAUGCAAGUCGAGGGGCAGCAUGGUCUCAGCUUGCUAAGGCUGAUGGCGACCGGCGCACGGGUGAGUAACACGUAUCCAACCUGCCGUCUACUCUUGGCCAGCCUUCUGAAAGGAAGAUUAAUCCAGGAUGGGAUCAUGAGUUCACAUGUCCGCAUGAUUAAAGGUAUUUUCCGGUAGACGAUGGGGAUGCGUUCCAUUAGAUAGUAGGCGGGGUAACGGCCCACCUAGUCAACGAUGGAUAGGGGUCCUGAGAGGAGGCUCCCCCACAUUGGAACUGAGACACGGUCCAAACUCCUACGGGAGGCAGCAGUGGGGAAUAUUGGUCAAUGGGCGAUGGCCUGAACCAGCCAAGUAGCGUGAAGGAUGACUGCCCUAUGGGUUGUAAACUUCUUUUAUAAAGGAAUAAAGUCGGGUAUGCAUACCCGUUUGCAUGUACUUUAUGAAUAAGGAUCGGCUAACUCCGUGCCAGCGCCGCGGUAA
rnacentral:rRNA from 1 species